GAACACUGGUGUGUCAGUGCAACCUGCAAAAGGGAAUCAAUUUGUGUACCAAAUGAUCCGUAAUGCUACCAAAUUAUAUCAGGGACCAAAUAUUUCCCAGGACUAAGUAAAACUUUUGUAACAAAAUGUGCUAUGUAUUAAUGGGAUAUUUAAAACACUUCAAGAUUUUAUUUCUACAAAAAUGCUGGUGGAUGUCAACAUGGCUUAGAUGAAGUGCUUCCCACUGAAAAAAAUA